GCCGGGUUAGCUCAGUUGGUUAGAGCAUGGUGCUAAUAACACCAAGUUCACAGGUUCCAAUCCCUGCUUACUGCA
rnacentral:tRNA from 1 species